rnacentral:rRNA from 1 species
GGCUCAGGAUGAACGCUGGCGGCGUGCCUAACACAUGCAAGUCGAACGUGAUUCUGUUUUCGGACAGAUGAAAGUGGCGAACGGGUGAGUAACACGUUGGUGACCUGCCCCGAAGUGGGGGAUAACUCUGGGAAACCAGAGCUAAUACCCCAGAUGUUUAAGGGUUUAGACGCCUUAAACUAAAACUGAGGUGCUUCGGGAGGGGCUUGCGGGCUAUCAGCUAGUUGGUGAGGUAAAGGCUCACCAAGGCGAAGACGGCUAGGGGGCGUGAGAGCGUGACCCCCCACAAGGGAACUGAGAAACGGUCCCUACUCCUACGGGAGGCAGCAGUGAGGAAUAUUGAGCAAUGGGCGCAAGCCUGACUCAGCAACGCCGCGUGGAUGAUGACGGCCUUCGGGUUGUAAAAUCCUUUUCUGGGGGAAGAUAAUGACGGUACCCCAGGAAUAAGUUCCGGCUAACUACGUGCCAGCAGCCGCGGUAAAACGUAGGGGACAAGCGUUAUCCGGAUUUACUGGGCGUAAAGCGCAUGUAGGUGGCCUUUCAAGUUGGACGUGAAAGCUCCCGGCUUAACUGGGAGAGGUCGUUCAAAACUGGGGGGCUUGAGGAUGGAAGAGGAGAGCGGAAUUCCCGGUGUAGUGGUGGAAUGCGUAGAUAUCGGGAGGAACACCAGUGGCGAAAGCGGCUCUCUGGUUCACCCCUGACACUGAGAUGCGAAAGCGUGGGGAGCGAACGGGAUUAGAUACCCCGGUAGUCCACGCUGUAAACGAUGGAUACUAGGUGUAGGCGGUCAUUAACCCCGUCUGUGCCGAAGCCAACGCGUUAAGUAUCCCGCCUGGGGACUACGGCCCGCAGGGUUAAACUC